UGGGGAAUAUUGGACAAUGGGCGCAAGCCUGAUCCAGCCAUGCCGCGUGAGUGAUGAAGGCCCUAGGGUUGUAAAGCUCUUUCACCGGUGAAGAUAAUGACGGUAACCGGAGAAGAAGCCCCGGCUAACUUCGUGCCAGCAGCCGCGGUAAUACGAAGGGGGCUAGCGUUGUUCGGAUUUACUGGGCGUAAAGCGCACGUAGGCGGACUUUUAAGUCAGGGGUGAAAUCCCGGGGCUCAACCCCGGAACUGCCUUUGAUACUGGAAGUCUUGAGUAUGGUAGAGGUGAGUGGAAUUCCGAGUGUAGAGGUGAAAUUCGUAGAUAUUCGGAGGAACACCAGUGGCGAAGGCGGCUCACUGGACCAUUACUGACGCUGGGGUGCGAAAGCGUGGGGAGCAAACAGG
rnacentral:rRNA from 2 species